rnacentral:rRNA from 1 species
GGACUACUGGGGUAUCUAAUCCCGUUGGCUCCCCUGGCUUUCGUCCCUGAGCGUCAGAUGCUUCCCAGGACACUGCCUACGCCUUUGGUGUUCCUCCGGAUCUCUACGCAUUUCACCACUCCACCCGGAAUUCCGUGUCCCUCUGAAGCCCUCAAGUCUGCCAGUUUUCGAAGGCCCUUCUCAGUUGAGCCGAGAAUUGUCACUCCAAACUUAACAGACCGCCUGCGGACGCUUUACGCCCAGUAACUCCGGACAACGCUUGCUCCCUACGUAUUACCGCGGCGGCUGGCAC